GACGAACGCUGGCGGCGUGCUUAACACAUGCAAGUCGAACGAUGAAGCCCAGCUUGCUGGGUGGAUUAGUGGCGAACGGGUGAGUAACACGUGAGUAACCUGCCCUUUCCUCUGGGAUAACUCCGGGAAACCGGUGCUAAUACUGGAUAUGACUCUUGCCUGCAUGGGUGGGGGUGGAAAGAUUUAUCGGGAUUGGAUGGACUCGCGGCCUAUCAGCUUGUUGGUGGGGUAAUGGCCUACCAAGGCGACGACGGGUAGCCGGCCUGAGAGGGUGACCGGCCACACUGGGACUGAGACACGGCCCAG
rnacentral:rRNA from 1 species